CUUUUUUAGCCUGAGUACAAGGACUGACAACUUUUUUGUUUAUAUAUAUAUAUAUAUAAACAAAAAAGUUGUCAGUCCUUGUACUCAGGCUAAAAAAG